UGCCAAGCUUCCAUUGCGAUGAAAGCAUUUUGAUAAUUAGUUUUCGAAAUUUAUGUCAGCGUCAUGGAAGCUUUUAGUAUUAAACAACACAUACUAACAUUAGCAAUACAAGACCAACAGAUAGUUAGUAAAAAAAUAAUAAAAAAUAAAUAAAAAUAAAAAGCAUUAAACGUGCACUUUGCCGACCAAACAUUAAGCUUCUGUAGAGAUAAUUACACAGCUUCAUUUUGAAGAGAAAAAAACUGUUAAGGCUUUCCUUGGAAGUACCAUGAUAUUUCAAGUGGCGUGUCGCCUUUGGAAACAUGGCAAUCGAGAUGUACAGAUUCUCCGGCAAAAACUGCUUCUUCCAAUUCGAAAGGUAAAUCUCCUUUCGUCACUGUGCAUAUCACUACUGCCAUUUCUUGAUCAUUCAAUGCCUCCGUUCCAAAAUCGAAUGGUAGUAUUUGCGGUGCAACUAGUACAAAUAACAAUUUUAAGCAUUUUCAAAUAAAAUUUUAGUUAACAGUCUUCAAAUCUAUGAUUAUAUUUUUAGGACAAAUAAAUACAUUAGAUGUGAUCUCUUCAUAUGAAUUAAAAA